rnacentral:rRNA from 1 species
CCUACGGGUGGCAGCAGUGAGGAAUAUUGGUCAAUGGCCUUAAGCCUGAACCAGCCAAGUCGCGUGAGGGACGACUGCCCUAUGGGUUGUAAACCUCUUUUGUCAGGGAGCAACGCCGGCUACGUGUAGCCGGACUGAGAGUACCUGAAGAAAAAGCAUCGGCUACCUCCGUGCCAGCAGCCGCGGUAAUCCGGGGGAUGCGAGCUUUAUCCGGAUUUUUUGGGUUAAAGGGGUGCGUAGGCGGAAUGCCAAGUCAGCGGUAAAAGCGCGGGGCUCAACCGCGCUCCGCCGUUGAAACUGGCGGUCUGGAGUGGGCGAGAAGUAUGCGGAAUGCGUGGUGUAGCGGUGAAAUGCAUAGAUAUCGCGCAGAACUCCGAUUGCGAAGGCAGCAUACCGGCUCCCAACUGACGCUGAGGCACGAAAGCGUGGGUAUCGAACAGGAUUAGAUACCCCGGUAGUC